GACGAACGCUGGCGGCGUGCUUAACACAUGCAAGUCGAACGGAAAGGCCCUGCUUUUGUGGGGUGCUCGAGUGGCGAACGGGUGAGUAACACGUGAGUAACCUGCCCUUGACUUUGGGAUAACUUCAGGAAACUGGGGCUAAUACCGGAUAGGAGCUCCUGCUGCAUGGUGGGGGUUGGAAAGUUUCGGCGGUUGGGGAUGGACUCGCGGCUUAUCAGCUUGUUGGUGGGGUAGUGGCUUACCAAGGCUUUGACGGGUAGCCGGCCUGAGAGGGUGACCGGCAAAAUUGGGACUGAGAUACGGCCCAGACUCCUACGGGAGGCAGCAGUGGGGAAUAGUGCACAAUGGGCGGAAGUCUGAUGCAGCAACGCCGCGUGCGGGAUGACGGCCUUCGGGUUGUAAACCGCUUUCGCCUGUGACGAAGCGUGAGUGACGGUAAUGGGUAAAGAAGCACCGGCUAACUACGUG
rnacentral:rRNA from 1 species